UGCAGUUUUUCAGUUUUUCCUAUAAUCCCAUCAACUUCCUAUCAAGGAAUUUCCUUUUGCACUCAAUAACUAUAUUUGUGGAAAGUCUUUUAUCUGCUUGCCUUAGCAUUCCUGGAUCUCAAUCUUUUUGUUGUCAUUGUUGACAGAUUCAAGGAUUAUAUCCCUGCAAAGUAUCAUUCCUUAUAUGAGCAGUACCUUAAAAGAAGUGACAACGCAGUCGCCAUGUGAAAAAGGCUCGACAACUAAAUGAUGAAGUUACUUGAUGGGCCAAAAAGAAUCUGUAUAUGUGCUCCAUUUGUGUUCAUACUUUAGAACAUUUGGGGCCAUGGUUUCAGCAAAUCAGUAUUUGGCCCUCAGACA